GCAUCCAUGGCUGAAUGGUUAAAGCGCCCAACUCAUAAUUGGUGAACUCGAGGGUUCAAUUCCCGCUGGAUGCA
rfam:Picea glauca, whole genome shotgun sequence.